AAACUGAAGAGUUUGAUCAUGGCUCAGAUUGAACGCUGGCGGCAGGCCUAACACAUGCAAGUCGAGCGGCAGCACGGGAAAGCUUGCUUUUCUGGUGGCGAGCGGCGGACGGGUGAGUAAUGCAUGGGAAUCUGCCCGAUAGUGGGGGACAACGUUUCGAAAGGAACGCUAAUACCGCAUACGUCCUACGGGAGAAAGCAGGCUUAGGCUUGCGCUAUCGGAUGAGCCCAUGUCGGAUUAGCUAGUUGGUGAGGUAAAGGCUCACCAAGGCGACGAUCCGUAAC
rnacentral:ncRNA from 1 species